AUUGAACGCUGGCGGUAGGCUUAACACAUGCAAGUCGAGCGGAAACGAUUCUAGCUUGCUAGAAGGCGUCGAGCGGCGGACGGGUGAGUAACGCGUAGGAAUCUACCCAGUAGUUGGGGAUAGCCCGGAGAAAUCCGGAUUAAUACCGAAUAAUCUCUACGGAGGAAAGUGGGGCUUCGGCUCACGCUACAGGAUGAGCCUGCGUUGGAUUAGCUAGUUGGUGAGGUAAAGGCUCACCAAGGCGACGAUCCAUAGCUGGUCUGAGAGGAUGAUCAGCCACACUGGGACUGAGACACGGCCCAG
rnacentral:rRNA from 1 species